AAAAAAACCCUCAAGUCCCAUAAUCUCAUUGAAUUUUUAAUUCUUGAUAAGCUGCAAAAUAUUGAUUUUACUGGGAUUACUGACUUCCAUUACAUUAUUGUCCUAUAUUGGGGAAUAUUGUAAUUUGAUGAAAGUUCAAGCAAAGGUAUUUAUGCUAUGUUACUUUGUGAGGAAAUUGAAGGCAUGAAGAUAUUUGAAGUACUUAUUUCUUUGGCAUGGGAGAUCACAAUUUCUAGUUAUAAACUUGAAGAUGAGUUUUGUUUAAGUGGAGGGGUAUGAUGUGGGGGGUGG
rnacentral:misc_RNA from 1 species